rnacentral:piRNA from 1 species
UUCAAACUCUGCAAUCGUCGC